CCUACGGGAGGCAGCAGUGAGGAAUAUUGGUCAAUGGGCGAGCGCCUGAACCAGCCAAGUCGCGUGAAGGAUGAAGGAUCUAUGGGUUGUAAACUUCUUUUAUCUGGGAAUAAAGUGAGGAACGUGUUCCUUUUUGUAUGUACCAUAUGAAUAAGCAUCGGCUAACUCCGUGCCAGCCGCCGCGGUAAUACGGAGGAUGCGCACGUUAUCCGGAUUUAUUGGGUUUAAAGGGUGGGUAGGUGGUAAUUUAAGUCAGCGGUGAAAGUUUGUGGCUCAACCAUAAAAUUGCCGUUGAAACUGGUUGACUUGAGUAUGUUUGAGGUAGGCGGAAUGCGUGGUGUAGCGGUGAAAUGCAUAGAUAUCACGCAGAACUCCGAUUGCGAAGGCAGCUUACUAACGUAUAACUGACGCUGAAGCACGAAAGCGUGGGGAUCAAACAGGAUUAGAUACCCGUGUAGUC
rnacentral:rRNA from 1 species